GGAUGAACGCUAGCGGCAGGCCUAAUACAUGCAAGUCGUACGGCAACACAGUUGCGAGCAAUCGCAACCGGUGGCGAGUGGCGCACGGGUGAGUAACGCGUAUGUAACCUACCCUUCUCCGGGACAUAACUCCGCGAAAGCGGUGCUAAUAUCCCAUACCAACUCAUCAAGACAUCUUCUUGAGUUGAAAGCAGCAAUGCGGUGAGGGAUGGGCAUGCGUCCCAUUAGCUGGUUGGUGAGGUAAUGGCCCACCAAGGCUACGAUGGGUAGGGGUUCUGAGAGGAAAGCCCCCCACACUGGUACUGAGACACGGACCAGACUCCUACGGGAGGCAGCAGUAAGGAAUAUUGGGCAAUGGUCGAAAGACUGACCCAGCCAUGCCGCGUGCAGGAUGAAGGCCCUAUGGGUUGUAAACUGCUUUUAGCCGGGAAUAAACACCCGUUUUAUAACGGGCCCGAAGGUACCGGCUGAAUAAGCAUCGGCUAACUCCGUGCCAGCAGCCGCGGUAAUACGGAGGAUGCAAGCGUUAUCCGGAUUCACUGGGUUUAAAGGGUGCGCAGGCGGACAUUUAAGUCAGGGGUGAAAUCCUACAGCUUAACUGUAGAACUGCCCUUGAUACUGAAUGCCUAGAGUAAAGCUGAAGUGGGCGGAAUGUGUUGUGUAGCGGUGAAAUGCUUAGAUAUAACACAGAACACCAAUCGCGAAGGCAGCUCACUAAACUUUAACUGACGCUCAUGCACGAAAGCGUGGGGAGCGAACAGGAUUAGAUACCCUGGUAGUCCACGCUGUAAACGUUGUAUACUAGGUGUUAGCGGCUUGUCUGCUAGUGCCGAAGCAAACGCAUUAAGUAUACCGCCUGGGGAGUACGCCCGCAAGGGUGAAACUCAAAGAAAUUGACGGGGGCCCGCACAAGCGGAGGAGCAUGUGGUUUAAUUCGAUGAUACGCGAAAAACCUUACCUGGGCUUGAACUGUGCAUGACCGGCGUAGAGAUACGCUUUUCCUUCGGGACAUGUACAGAGGUGCUGCAUGGCUGUCGUCAGCUCAUGUCGUGAGAUGUUGGGUUAAGUCCCGCAACGAGCGCAACCCCUACUCUCUGUUGCUAUCAGGUAAUGCUGGGCACUCUGAGGGAACUGCCGGUGAUAAACCGGAGGAAGGUGGGGAUGACGUCAAGUCAUCACGGCCCUUAUGUCCAGGGCUACACACGUGCUACAAUGGCCGGUACAAAGAGUCGCAAGACCGCGAGGUGGAGCUAAUCUCAAAAAACCGGUCUCAGUUCGGAUUGUUCUCUGCAACUCGAGAGCAUGAAGUUGGAUUCGCUAGUAAUCGUGGAUCAGCACGCCACGGUGAAUACGUUCCCGGGCCU
rnacentral:rRNA from 1 species